rnacentral:rRNA from 1 species
CCUACGGGUGACAGCAGUGAGGAAUAUUGGUCAAUGGACGCAAGUCUGAACCAGCCAAGUAGCGUGCAGGAUGACGGCCCUCCGGGUUGUAAACUGCUUUUAGUUGGGAAUAAACGGGGGCUCGUGAGCCCCGUAUUGUAUGUACCAUCAGAAAAAGGACCGGCUAAUUCCGUGCCAGCAGACGCGGUAAUACGGAAGGUCAGGGCGUUAUCCGGAUUUAUGGGGUUUAAGGGGAGCGUAGGCCGGCUUUUAAAUCUGCUGUGAAAGUCGGGGGCUCAACCGUGGAAGGGCAGUUGAAACGGGAGGCCUUGAGUGCACGCAGGGAUGCCGGAAUUCAUGGUGUAGCGGUGAAAUGCAUAGAUAUCAUGAAGAACUCCGAUCGCGAAGGCAAGUGUCCGGGGUGCAACUGACGCUGAGGCUCGAAAGUGCGGGUAUCGAACAGGAUUAGAUACCCGGGUAGUC